rnacentral:pre_miRNA from 13 species
UUCGCCUGGCCAUGUGACUUGUGGGCUUCCCUUUGUCAUCCUUUGCCUACGGCUCUGAGCAGGGCAGGGACAGCAAAGGGCUGCUCAGUUGUCACUUCCUAC